GCUUCUCAGCCUUUUGGCUAAGAUCAGGUACAGUAU
rnacentral:snRNA from 1 species